AGCGAACGCUGGCGGCAGGCCUAACACAUGCAAGUCGAACGAACCCUUCGGGGUUAGUGGCGGACGGGUGAGUAACACGUGGGAACGUGCCUUUAGGUUCGGAAUAACUCAGGGAAACUUGUGCUAAUACCGAAUGUGCCCUUCGGGGGAAAGAUUUAUCGCCUUUAGAGCGGCCCGGGUCUGAUUAGCUAGUUGGUGAGGUAAUGGCUCACCAAGGCUACGAUCAGUAGCUGGUCUGAGCGGAUGACCAGCCACAUUGGGACUGAGACACGGCCCAAACUCCUACGGGAGGCAGCAGUGGGGAAUCUUGCGCAAUGGGCGAAAGCCUGACGCAGCCAUGCCGCGUGGAUGAUGAAGGUCUUAGGAUUGUAAAAUCCUUUCACCGGUGAAGAUAAUGACUGUAGCCGGAGAAGAAGCCCCGGCUGACUUCGUGCCAGCCGCCGCCGUAAAAC
rnacentral:rRNA from 1 species